rnacentral:rRNA from 1 species
UACAGAGGGUGCAAGCGUUGUUCGGAAUUAUUGGCGUAAAGCGCGUGUAGGCGGCUUGCAAGUCGGGUGUGAAAGCCCUCAGCUCAACUGAGGAAGUGCGCCCGAAACUGCAGAGCUUGAGUGCCGGAGAGGGUGGCGGAAUUCCCCAAGUAGAGGUGAAAUUCGUAGAUAUGGGGAGGAACACCGGUGGCGAAAGGCGGCCACCCUGGACGGUAA